UUCUCUGUGUGGAUGCUAUGCUCCAGCUAGAGCUGGAUUUACUUAGAAAACAAACCAUAAAGGAGGUAUUUUGACACUAAAGUUAACUGCAGAAGUUACGGAAGUAGACAAGAAUCAUCAGACGUCUUUGAACCACGUAGAAAUCGAUAUUUCGCCUGUUAUAAGCCAAGAAGGAACUGGCAGAAUGGCAGCUUUAUUGGAGUAAAUGUAUUGGACACUUAUUAUGGAUUGUAUGAGUAGUUGCCCUGCACAUCCGUGUAGGCUGGUUUUUGAGGAUUGUCUUCAGCGGGACUUUGAUCUUCAUCCAUCUGCUGUGUGUUGAUGUCCAUCCACAUCUCCAUCUCCAUCACUCUGGGAUCAGCCAUCAUCUCGGACCGUCUCGUCGGAUAUUCAUUAUAAGGGGGAGACGUGUGCGAGCACAUUGCUGAGGCUGAGUCAGACGUGAAGUCACUGAAGUUCAGCCAAUAAAUGGACCCAGCUGACGGAGAACAAGGGUGAUGAUCUAUUCCAACCCGUACAGCAGAUUUUGCUGAUCACUUGUUGAAUUGCUGCAGCAGCUUUUCUCUGGAAUCUCCUUUCUGCCCUGCAGCCGUUGUACUUUCUACUUGAUCACCCUUCAUGGUUGCCAAACUACAACAACACUUUGGUAGCUGAAUCACCGGAGUUGGCGCCUCCAACCAAUCAGGGAGCCUGGAAUGCUGCUGGUGACGCAGGAGGAGGAAGAGUUUUAGUUGAAGCUGCAGUGUGUUAUUAUUAUUCAGAGGCCAGAUGAGGACACAUGCUGGUGAACGCCCUCCUCAUGACUACAAGCUCAGCUGUGGAAUGGAAAUUACUUCAGUGAAACUUUCAGGUACUUUCAAGCUGACUUCUUCUUCUACUGCAUUUCAAUGAUGGUAUUUUUACUCUGCUACUCUGAGUUGACAUCUUUAGUCGCUCGUUUCUUUCCUGAACACUAACGAGAUAAAGGAAAUGAGGAAAGACUUCAGGAGGAUGAGAACAGCCACCUCCACCUCCACAUGCUUGGGGUGGUGGUAGAGAGUGUGGAGCAGCUGAAGUUCACACCUCAAACACCUCAAACCUUGUUGGAGAAGCUCAACAAAGACUGGUCUUUCUGUGGAAACUGAAGCAGGCUGAACUUUUCCAGGACCACCGCUGAGAGCAAAUGAGCAAAUGCUCAGCAAAUGACCUUCCUCUGAGUACAGGCGUGUGUUCUGCAUGUGUACGUUAUGUAUGGAUACCGGAUCACAUGACCUAAACAUGUAGCAGGCGGUGGGAAUUGAUGGGACUCAGACACACCCCCACAAUUUAAUCAGUUGUCUCUUGGAUCAUUUCUAAUGUAUAAGUCCUGAUAAGUCCUCAGCUGUGGAUUUGUAGUAAGAUCACAAUCAGCUGAUGUAGUGUUCACUGGUUGUCACGGUAACAGUGAUGCCGUGCCGCUAUCUGGCAAUGAUGCAGAACAAAUUUCCACAUUUGUCCAAAAUGAUUAGAAAUUUGACCAGAAAUUUGCUUUUGUGCUGUUUUUGUGUUGAUUUCCUGCUGUUUUUAUGCUGACUUCCUGCUGUUUUUGUGUAGAUUUCCUGCUGUUUUUAUGCUGACUUCCUGCUGUUUUUGUGUAGAUUUCCUGCUGUUUGUGUGUUGAUUUCCUGCUGUUUUUAUCUAUUUUUAAAAAAAGAUUUGUGCAUACAAAACAUGUCGAGUGCUUGUAAUAUGUGACGUCCUGUUGUCUGAUAACAUGUCAGUGGAUUAGCAGCCCAUUUCUAAUCGGUGCAUCAGUUGUGGUCUUUGUGCCGUUUUGACAGGAAAGAUUCCAGUCUGGCAAAGUUCCCCAGCUGAAUGCAGAACUCUUUCACCACACUGUAAAUCUAUUUGUCAGUUUUCAGCACUGAGUCAAAGAUGACACUAAGAUUCCUGGUGUGGGCACGAAGGUUUGCUGCCAGGAGCCCUGAGUGGGUGGUUUCUGUCAAUCAGCUGAAGACAAUCUUUGUCCA